CAUAAUUAUUAGCACUUAGUAAUUGUCUAUUUUAUAUUUUAGUAAAUAUUACAGCCUCUCUGAAGUUCCAGAUCUCCUUCCAACAACCUCACUACCGGAUUUCAAUGGAAGCAACUUUAUAUACUGUUAGAUCUCAAACUCCAUGGGAAUGGAAGAAAAGUGACGUGAGGAAUGGUAUGAAGUGUAAUAACUUUGAUUUAGAGAAAUGGUACUAGCAGAGUUUUUAUAUAUAUGGAACUUGAUUUGAAACAAGUCAUCCAAUGAGACACUGAAUGACUCGAAGGGUCACUUAAAGGAUGGA
rnacentral:lncRNA from 1 species